rnacentral:rRNA from 1 species
UACAGAGGUCCCGAGCGUUGUUCGGAUUCACUGGGCGUAAAGGGUGCGUACGUGGCCUGAAAAGUUUGAUGUGAAAGCUCAGGGCUUAACCCUGAAAUGGCAUUGAAUACUGUUGGGCUGGAGGUUUGGAGGGGGGACUGGAAUUCUUGGUGUAGCAGUGAAAUGCGUAGAUAUCAAGAGGAACACCAGUGGCGAAGGCGAGUCCCUGGACAACACCUGACACUGAGGCACGAAAGCUAGGGGAGCAAACAGG